AUUGAACGCUGGCGGCAUGCUUUACACAUGCAAGUCGAACGGUAACAGGCCUUCGGGCGCUGACGAGUGGCGAACGGGUGAGUAAUGCAUCGGAACGUGCCCGGUCGUGGGGGAUAACGCAGCGAAAGCUGCGCUAAUACCGCAUACGAUCUCUGGAUGAAAGCGGGGGACCGAAAGGCCUCGCGCGAUUGGAGCGGCCGAUGUCAGAUUAGGUAGUUGGUGGGGUAAAGGCCCACCAAGCCAACGAUCUGUAGCUGGUCUGAGAGGACGACCAGCCACACUGGGACUGAGACACGGCCCAGACUCCUACGGGAGGCAGCAGUGGGGAAUUUUGGACAAUGGGCGCAAGCCUGAUCCAGCAAUGCCGCGUGCAGGAAGAAGGCCUUCGGGUUGUAAACUGCUUUUGUACGGAACGAAACGGUUCGGGUUAAUACCCUGGGCUAAUGACGGUACCGUAAGAAUAAGCACCGGCUAACUACGUGCCAGCCGCCGCAGUAA
rnacentral:rRNA from 1 species